GUGGCGGUCGCGACGUUUCGUCCGCUUCUUGGGACUUCUUCAGGCGGCCAUGACAUACAGGUUUUAUUUCUUUUCCGGUAGAGGUAAGUAUUCCCUUUAGUGGAGGUAAGUAUUCCCUUUAGUGGAGGUAAGUAUUCCCUUUAGUGGAGGUAAGUAAUCCCUUUAGUUGAGGUAAGUAUUUAGUUGAGGUAAGUAUUUAGUUGAGGUAGUUAUCCCCUAACAGUGUGCCCCUCUGGGGACAUGUGGCUCCCUCAGAGGG